rnacentral:rRNA from 1 species
AGUGAAGCGGCAAAGCUCAAGUUUGAAACAACGAUUGUACCAAGGGAGAGGACAGGACAAAGUCGCUUGGAACAGCGCGCCACAGAGGGUGACAGCCCCCCCCGCCCCACCCCCUACUCCGACUCAAGCUGUUUGGGAAUGCAGCUCAAACGGUGGUAAAAUCCAUCCAAAGCUAAACACGCGCGAGAAACCGAUAGCAAACAAGUACAGUGAUGGAAAGAUGAAAAGCACUUUGAAAAGAGAGUGAAACAGUAUGUGAAAUUGUUGAGAGGGAAGGGAAUCUCAACCGAGCUUCCACCCGUCUUGAAACACGGACCAAGGAGUCCAACGUGGGUGCGAGUGUUUGGGUGACAAACCCGGGCGCGCAAUGAAAGUGAGCCGCAACGGCAGCCGGAGCACCCCUGUUGGGACCCGAAAGAUGGUGAACUAUGCCUGAAUAGGGCGAAGCCAGAGGAAACUCUGGUGGAGGCUCGCAGCGGUUCUGACGUGCAAAUCGAUCGUAGAAUUUGGG